rnacentral:rRNA from 1 species
CUGGAGAGUGGCGCACGGGUGAGUAACGCGUGGGGACCUACCUUUUAGUGGGGGAUAACGGUUGGAAACGACCGCUAAUACCGCAUACGCCCUUCGGGGGAAAGAUUUAUCGCUAAAAGAUGGACCCGCGUUGGAUUAGAUAGUUGGUGAGGUAACGGCUCACCAAGUCAGCGAUCCAUAGCUGGUUUGAGAGGAUGAUCAGCCACACUGGGACUGAGACACGGCCCAGACUCCUACGGGAGGCAGCAGUGGGGAAUAUUGGACAAUGGGCGCAAGCCUGAUCCAGCCAUGCCGCGUGAGUGAAGAAGGCCUUCGGGUUGUAAAGCUCUUUCAGAUGCGAAGAUGAUGACGGUAACAUCAGAAGAAGCCCCGGCUAAUUUCGUGCCAGCAGCCGCGGUAAUACGAAAGGGGCAAGCGUUGUUCGGAUUUACUGGGCGUAAAGGGCACGCAGGCGGUCUCGCCAGUCAGGGGUGAAAGCCCGGGGCUCAACCCCGGAACUGCCUCUGAUACUGUGAGACUAGAGACUAGGAGAGGGUGGUGGAAUUCCCAGUGUAGAGGUGAAAUUCGUAGAUAUUGGGAGGAACACCAGAGGCGAAGGCGGCCACCUGGACUAGAUCUGACGCUCAGG